UUAGUAUGUAUCACUACGAAUUUGUAUGUUCAAGAUUUUCGUAUACAUUUUUACGAACAGGUUUUGGAGAUCAGGCUGCUCAGACACAAGAAGAUCAGGUGUCUUGGGUGAGUGCUUAUACACACACGCACACACGCACAUCAUACCAAAGUAAAACAGCUAAUUGGAGAAAAGUAACUUCAAUUUGAAAGCAUAACGUUAAGGAUUUAAUGAUAUUUAUGUCUUUUACUUGAUGUGUUUAUGUGUCAGAUUUCCUAAUCCAGGACAUAUCUGUUACAUGAACUCCUGCCUGCAGAGCCUCCUGACGCUGAAGGACUUCGUCAGGGCCAUCAGACGCCAGGAGCAUCUCUGGACUUUGAUCCCAGAGGCUGCAGUAAUCAGGUACGGCAAAGCUUUGACACAACCACCAAGUGGUGUCCUGAAGACUAAAAUCUUAAUGGUAAAGGAAAUGCCUCUGACCCCUUUGACCUCCUCUCCAGAGCAUUUAUGGACAUCCAAAGGUCUCACCUCUCAGGUGAUGUCAGUCACAAAAUCGAUCUCCUAAUUGCAUUCAAGAGCACGAUUUGUUCUCAGAAGUUCCAGGAUUAUGACCAGAAGGUGAGUAAGGCGGUGGUUUGUUGUUUUAACUACUUCCUGGUGGUAUAAACUCUGCAUAGAGUUGUAUAAUUAAUAAUAAUCGCAGGAUUCGCACGAGUUUCUCACCUGCGUGCUGCAGCAGAUGAGAUGCUUAAGCCCAAAGCUUCAGAUGAUGGCUGCCAUCCAGGGCCGACCCUACAGCUGUCUUGUGGAGGAUCACAUUGUCUUUAAAAUGGCCAACACCCGGACCGGCAAGGAGUACGCCUGCGUCGUUACCACAUAGCACACAAUACAUCUAAUUUCUGUAAAUUACUGUAUUGUCCUUUCUAAUGUGCAGGUGCGAGACAGAAUCCACCUGAGAGGACCAGUUCACCAACCUCUCCCUGAACGUGGUCACUGGAGACGUAAGCGUGCAGCAGAUGCUCCAGGAUUACAUGAUGGUAAGAAAUACCUCCUGUCACUGAUUCACAACAGAACUGACUGAUGUGAGAUGAUCAUAUGAUGUAGAAAACACUGACCCAUUUCUAUCCAACCACCCACACUGCCUGAGUCAGUAUUGUGCAUGAAUGUGUUAUGUCAUCAUUUUACCGUUGGGCCGUUAAUCCGGUAGAGAAGUAAAACCAUGUUUUGUUGUGUGCUGAUCUGCAGGAGAAAAACGUGGGCUACAACUGUGAAUGCGGAGCCAGCACCUCAGGUGAGCGACUUCACAUCCACAACAACAACUAAACUCAUGCAUGACCACAGUCCUCGUAGUAUCAGCAAAAAGGGCUCCACUAACCCAAAGGAGCGAUUGUGAUGUGUUAAAUACCAAUAAAAAGCAUCUGUUGCUCAUGUUUUUUCUAUCUGGCCUCAGGGUGCUGUUCUUGCACCUAACGCGCUUUAGGUUUACUGCACCCUCCCAACUUGAAAAGGUACAUGAAUCAGUCGUUAUCCUCAGAGAGCUGGUGGUGAGAUCUAACCCGGUAAAUUAAACCAAAAUGACCAAAUUAAUUAGAUCAAAUUAGCGCCGAUACAAGUAAAUGUCUGAACUUUGUGUGCAAAACUCCAAUUUGCUGGGUUUCCUUUCAGGAUUGCGGCCACUACAGUCUGGUCAGUACCAUCAACCACAUCGGCAUCACAGCAAGAUGCGGUAAGAUGAUCGCUGAUUUUACUGAUACUCACAUUCAGGAUUAUUUCAAGUCCUGGAAACAACGCUUCCUCACCUGUUAGGGCACUACAGCUGUGACGGGGUGGAUCCAGAUGUGGAAGAGGAGUACCAAGCUAACUGCUGGUUCUACUACAACGACGCAGAGGUCACUAAAACAAGCACACACUCUGUGUGCAACAAGCUGAAAAACUCCUGCUACAUACUUUCCUACAGAAGACAGGUCAGAGACAGACGCUGUAAACACAUCGGCAGGAGUGGGGGUGCGACAGGGUCAGUGUCCAGAGGACAGAACAUGGGACCGCGUCCAGUGGAUGGAUGAUGCGUGUGUUCCGAGCAUAAUAAAAUAAACAGACCAUGAAUUUAUGUAAAAGUAUUUGUGUUAAACUAAGUGAGGUACGGUUCGCCCUUCAUUGGAUGGCAGUAUUAGGAGCCCUGAGAGUGUGUGUGUGUGUAUGUGUGUGUGUGUGUGUGUUUGUGUGUGUGUGCGUGUGUGCGUGCGUGUGUGCGUGCGUGCGUGUGAGUCAGACAUUAACGAAAGGUACAAAAAUACCAUACCGCUCAUAGAUACACCGUCUUUCCCACGUUCUGACACUUACAGGUGGCUGGAGCGUGGGAGUCUGUUAAGGGGUUGCCCUGUGAGUACGUUUUUGUGUAAGUUGAGUGUGUGUGUGUGUGUGUGUGUGUGUGUGUGUGAGUGUGAGGUUUCCCUUCACGUAGUAGAAAAGCCCUAUUGAUGUAAGCUGUCCCCCCAUCCAGGGGCGGAGCAGAGUCACAACAAACGCUGGGAUUUUCCACAGGUAUAUAGUUGUUUAUAUGUGUGUGUGUGUGUUUGCCAUGUUUGAAUUGAAAUGUUUGACGUUUUAGAGGCAGUGAUUCAUGUGUAAUUGAGAAGGGAAAUCUGUUUUCAUGGCGCGGAGCCUUUUUCUGGAUGUCCCAGAGUACUAAUAAAUCGCAGCGGGUUGUUGUGUUCAGGCUAAUGGGAUGCUACUAGCACAGCUUUUAAGGGUCUAUUUACAAUUCUCAAAUAUUCUUGAAUGAAUUAUACUAUUUGUUUGUGAAGUAUCUGUUUGAUUUAUCCGCAUCAAACAUGUCAGGCAAAUUACAAAAAAAGGUGUUAUAAUGUAAUGAGAGGUUAAGCUUCAUAACUCCAUCUACUGUUAUCCCAACAACCAAAAAAAGGCUUUGAAAAAUCAAAGCUGUUCUUUCUUUCUCUCAAACCACUGUGUUUGACAUUUUCAUAACCAACACAAACAGCCCUAAACCAUCGGCCUUUGCUCCAGCAUUGUCACCCUUUCCAUCAGCAACCUGUGAGGUCAAUAAAAUACGACCUCUGUACAUCUGAUAAAGUUCCUCACUUUACGCGGCGACAGUCUGUAUCGGAGUAAUUACUGGGCUUCAAAAAAGGAGCACUCAGCUCCUCGCCUGCUCUGGCUCAGUGGCUCGUGACAGGCGGACAAGUGGAGGAGCAGCCCAGUCACUGACCCGCCAUGGUAAAUGUUCAUCACAAUGACACUGACCUACUUAACGGCCAUCUCUUGGAUGUCAAAGAAAUCACUGCUUGACAUUUAGGGGCUGCCUGGAUGGGUCAAUGUUAGUCAGGCAUGACAAAUAAUAACUUGCACUAGUGGCUAAAUAAAAGAGAAAAGAACAGAAGGACUCUUUGCUGGGUAACACUUCUGAUUGGUGUUGUCUUUCAGAAGGCAGGUUCAUUUGCUCAGAGUACGCGCACACGCCGAACGAGAGGCCAUCAAGGCUAUCGUCUCAACUACAAUCAGACACAGAUUGAUGGUACCCAGGCAAAGAAGGUUUCUCCACAGCGUACUUAGUAGGAGGGGAACGAGGGAGGCGGUGACCCGGAGCAAAGGUCUCAUCAGUGGCUGUCCCCGUCUGAGGCCCCUCCGCCUGUCAAAGUCGCGAUUUAAUCACAAACAUAAUUUGAAUUUACACUAAUGAAUACAAAUGACUCCCAGGACUCCACAAACUGAGAGUAAUAAAUUAUCGCUGGUAACAAUCGCAUUUCUGAAGCCCUUUUUCAAUUAGCCGCCCCCGCGGAGAUGAUCAUGGAGGGCCCACUCAAAUGAAGAUAAACGACGCCCCUUGCAACGGUGUGCGUCUGCACCUCUAAUUUAAUAGCUUUGUAAUUCAGAAACAUCUUUCGACGUGACGGGGCGUGAGGCCUUUUCUUUCUAUUCCGACCGAGCCUCAUGAGAAAGUCACGUAAUUGAAAGCAGGUGUUAAGAAACCUGGCUGCGCUGUGGCGCUCGAUCCCGGAGUUUGACAAAGAGAAGAUUGUCCUUGCCUGCUCACUUCUGCCUAUUACAUGAUUAACUCUUUUUCAAUUGGAUCGGCCAACAUCAAGAGAACAAUUAUAAAUUACAAAAUAACAUAUGAGUAUCUCGUAAAUCCUAUAUUUAGUAGACUUUUAGUCAAUUUAGUAGUUUUUGAUUAAGAAAUUAUUUUGUAUCAUACACUGCCUACAUUUUUGAAACGUUUGAACCAGCGGCUCUGUGGCUUAGUUGGUUAACGUGCCUGUUUUGUAAUUAAGAGACCUUCGGUUCAAAUCCCAGCAGGGCCUUCGUCCCUUUCAUAUACAUUUGGUGUCAUCAAUGCCUUAUUUACAAACGAGAUUCCAGUUUCAUAGGGACAGGUCUACUAACAAAGGCAAUGUGGUUUGAUGCUUAACUGACUGUCUCAAAAAACAAAAGAUCCUAUUUAAUGCUCGACAGGAUCUUUAAAAGUUUAACAGCAUUUUCAGAUUUCCAACAUGGUAAAAAUGAAUUAACUUUAAUAUUUUUCCGGAAAAGCUAAAAAAACAGUGGCGCUGUGGCGUAGCUGGUCCAAGUGCCUGUCUAGUAAACAGGAGAUCCUGGGUUCAAAUCCCAGCAGGGCCUUCGUCCCUAUAAUAUUCAUUUAGUGUUCAUAAUGCCUUGUUUACAAACGAGAUUCCAGUUUCAUAGGGACGAGUCUACUAACAAAGACAAUGUGGUUUGAUGCUUGACUGACUGUCUCAAAAAGCAAAAGCUCUUAUUUAAUUCUCGACCCAAUCUUUAAAAGUCUAACACCAUUUUUAGAUUUCCAAAAUGGUAAAAAUGAAUUACAUCGAAUGUUUUUCCAGAAAAACUUAAAACAGUGGUGCUGUGGCUUAGCUGUUCAAAGUGCCUGUCUUGUAAACAGGAGAUCCUGGGAUCAAAUCCCAGCAGUGCCAUUCAACAACGUCUGUUGCCUUCAUUUUCAUAAUUAAAACUUUUUUGAAAAGAAGUUCAACUCGUUUUUGGUUUAAACGCUUCAAGUAGAGGCUCUGUGGCUUAGUUGGUCAAAGUGCCUGUUUCGUAAACAGGAGACUCUGGGUUCAAAUCCCAGCAGGGCCUUCGUCCAUGUAAUAUUCAUUUAGUGUUCAUAAUGCCUUGUUUACAAAAGAGAUUCCAGUUUCAUAGGGACGAGUCUACUAAAAAAGGCAAUGUGGUUUGAUGCUUGACUGACUGUCUCAAAACAAAAAAGAUCCUAUUUAAUUCUCGACCCAAUCUUUAAAAGUUUAAUAGCAUUUUUAGAUUUCCAAAAUGGUAAAAAUGAAUAAAAUUGAAUCUUUUUCCGGAAAAACUUAAAACAGAGGCGCUGUGGCUUAGCUGGUCAAAGUGCCUGUCUAGUAAACAGGAGAUCCUAGGUUAAAAUCCCAGCAGUGCCUUUAACGCAGUGUUUGGACUUCAUUUUCAUAAUUAAAACUUUUUUGAAGAGAAGUUCAACUCGUUUUUGGUUUAAACACUCCAAGUAGAGGCGCUGUGGCUUAGUUGGUCAAAGUGCCUGUCUAGUAAACAGGCGAUCCUGGGUUCAAAUCCCAGCAGUGCCUUUAACCCAGUGUUUUGACUUCAUUUUCAUAAUUAAAUCUUUUUUGAAAAGAAGUUCAACUCGUUUUUGGUUUAAACGCUUCAAGCAGAGGCGCUGUGGCUUAGUUGGUCAAAGUGCCUGUCUAGUAAACAGGAGAUCCUGGGUUCAAAUCCCAGCAGUGCCUUUAACCCAGUGUUUUGACUUCAUUUUCAUAAUUAAAACUUUUUUGAAAAGAAGUUCAACUCGUUUUUGGUUUAAACGCUUCAAGUAGAGGCUCUGUGGAUUAGUUGGUCAAAGUGCCUGUCUUGUAAACAGAAGAUCCUGGGUUCAAAUCCCAGCAGUGCCUUUAACAAUGUGUGUUGCCUUCAUUUUCAUAAUUAAAACUUUUUUGAAUAGAAGUUCAACUCUUUUUUGGUUUAAAUGCUUCAAGUAGAGGCGCUGUGGCUUAGUUGGUCAAAGUGCCUGUCUAGUAAACAGGAGAUCCUGGGUUCAAAUCCCAGCAGUGCCUUUAACCCAGUGUUUUGACUUCAUUUUCAUAAUUAAAACUUUUUUGAAAAGAAGUUCAACUCGUUUUGGGUUUAACAGCUUCAAGUAGAGGCGCUGUGGCUUAGAUGGUCAAAGUGCCUGUCUAGUAAACAGGAAUUCCUAGGUUCAAAUCCCAGCAGUGCCUUUAACCCAGUGUUUGGACUUCAUUUUCAUAAUUAAAACUUUUUUGAAAAGAAGUUCAACUCGUUUUUGGUUUAAACGCUUCAAGUAGAGGCUCUGUGGAUUAGUUGGUCAAAGUGCCUGUCUAGUAAACAGGAGAUCCUGGGUUCAAAUCCCAGCAGUGCCUUUAACCUCUGUUUUGACUUCCUUUUUUUUAUUAUUCCAACUUGCUGAGAUAUUACAUUUUACUUUUGUGCAUUAAAACCUGGUGAAAUACAGCUAAACUCAAGAUCUUUAGGAAUAAAAUGCAUGUCCCAGGGCUCUGUGGC
ensembl:lncRNA